rnacentral:rRNA from 1 species
UACGUAGGUGGCAAGCGUUGUCCGGAUUUACUGGGCGUAAAGAGCGUGUAGGCGGUCAGGUAGGUCCGUUGUGAAAACUCGAGGCUCAACCUCGAGACGCCGAUGGAAACCAUCUGACUAGAGUCCGGAAGAGGAGAGUGGAAUUCCUGGUGUAGCGGUGAAAUGCGCAGAUAUCAGGAAGAACACCCGUGGCUAAGGCGGCUCUCUAGUACGGUACUGACGCUGAGACGCGAAAGCGUGGGGAGCGAACAGG